AUUGAACGCUGGCGGCAGGCUUAACACAUGCAAGUCGAGCGGGGGAGGUUGCUUCGGUAACUGACCUAGCGGCGGACGGGUGAGUAAUGCUUAGGAAUCUGCCUAUUAGUGGGGGACAACAUUCCGAAAGGGAUGCUAAUACCGCAUACGCCCUACGGGGGAAAGCAGGGGAUCUUCGGACCUUGCGCUAAUAGAUGAGCCUAAGUCGGAUUAGCUAGUUGGCGGGGUAAUGGCCCACCAAGCCUAUGACGGUUAGGGGACCCGAGAGGGUGUACACGCAGACGGGGCCUGCGACACGGCCCCGAUCCCUACGGGAGGCAGCAUAAGGGAAUAUUGGACAAUGGGCGAAAGCCUGAUCCAGCGAGGCGGCGUGCGGGACGAAGGCCUUCGGGUCGUAAAGCUCUGUUGUUUGAGACGAAUGUGCCUGUUUCGAAUAGGGAUAGGUAAUGACGGUAUUAAACGAGAAAGCCACGGCUAACUACGUGCCAGCAGCCGCCGUAACAC
rnacentral:rRNA from 1 species